rnacentral:rRNA from 1 species
UACGUAGGGUGCGAGCGUUGUCCGGAAUUAUUGGGCGUAAAGAGCUUGUAGGCGGUUUGUCGCGUCUGCCGUGAAAAUUCGAGGCUCAACCUCGAACUUGCGGUGGGUACGGGCAGACUAGAGUGUGGUAGGGGAGACUGGAAUUCCUGGUGUAGCGGUGAAAUGCGUAGAUAUCAGGAGGAACACCGUUGGCGAAGGCAGGUCUCUGGGCCACUACUGACGCUGAGGGAUGAAAGCUGGGGGAGCAAACCGG